GGCAACGAUGAAGAGUGCUUAAAUUUCUGACACCUCUUGUAUGAGAAGGGCCUGUAAAAGGGCUCUUCCUUGAGCACAGUUAGCAACUCUCUGAGCC
rfam:Prunus persica cultivar Lovell chromosome G3, whole genome shotgun sequence.